GUAACACUAACUGGAGGACCGAACCGACUAAUGUUGAAAAAUUAGCGGAUGACCUGUGGCUGGGGGUGAAAGGCCAAUCAAACCGGGAGAUAGCUGGUUCUCCCCGAAAGCUAUUUAGGUAGCGCCUCGUGAAUUCAUCUCCGGGGGUAGAGCACUGUUUCGGCUAGGGGGCCAUCCCGGCUUACCAACCCGAUGCAAACUGCGAAUACCGGAGAAUGUUAUCACGGGAGACACACGGCGGGUGCUAACGUCCGUCGUGAAGAGGGAAACAACCCAGACCGCCAGCUAAGGUCCCAAAGUCAUGGUUAAGUGGGAAACGAUGUGGGAAGGCCCAGACAGCCAGGAUGUUGGCUUAGAAGCAGCCAUCAUUUAAAGAAAGCGUAAUAGCUCACUGGUCGAGUCGGCCUGCGCGGAAGAUGUAACGGGGCUAAACCAUGCACCGAAGCUGCGGCAGCGAACGUAUCACCCAAGACAACUUUACGGAGUUGACGAUUGACGGAGCGAAGCGACGUCAAAGCGUUCAUUAAA
rnacentral:rRNA from 1 species